rnacentral:lncRNA from 1 species
UAAAUUUUGUGUACCAACAUAAUCAUUGUAAUGGUAACAAAAAAAAAUUAAAUUACAAAUGUUGCAUUUUGUAGUUUAAACCUAUUUAUUCAUGAAAGUUUACAAAUAUUUCAAAAUGUAGGAUUUGGAAACAAGCUUCACACAGUUUACAUCAAUCAUAUUGUUUUUUUAUUUGUACCUGUAUCCCUGUGAUGAGAGUUGUAACUGGGAACUUUAUCAGUGGAAAUUUAAAACUGAAUAGAUUUUUCAGUCCUAACUUUCUUAAGAAAAAAAAUUAAAAUCUUGCAGUACUGUCACAAAAAAUGGAAAAUGGACCUACCGGUAGCCUGUAGUUCAGUCGUACACUAUUAAGAUUUCAAAAAAUAUUGUAGUUGUUGUUAAACGACAGAAUUCGGUUGAAUUUUAGAUAAUAAAGUAUCAACUUUAAUCGAAUGUUUAGAUUUAGAAGAUGCAGAUCUCUUCCAUUGGUCCGAAUUGAAUCCUAAACUAAGGAAACGAAAUUACAUUAAACAACAAUUGAUUUCAAUAUUGUCAACCUUUCUAUAUGUUCUA